GCUUCGGUGGCCUAGUUGUUAGGGCGUCCACCUUGGACGUGGGAGGUCGUGGUGUCGAUCCCCGGUCGAGUCA